rnacentral:rRNA from 1 species
GCUUACGACCACACCGGCCUGAGUACGCCUGAUCUCGGAAGCUAAGCAGGGUCGGGCCUGGUUAGUACUUGGAUGGGAGACCGCCUGGGAAUACCAGGUGCUGUAAGCU